ACUAGGUGGAGCCAAAGCCCACGGCAACAGCAUGGAAUUGGGAAGUUCAGCGGCCAGGGUUUGAGGACAGUGGGCUCGGGAGGCAGAGGACAGAAGAGAGGCUGAGUCUACGCAGAGCCAGGGAGGGCACAGGACAGCGGGUCCCAGCCUUUUUGGUUUAUGAAGUCUCGUCUAGCAGUAAUGCCUAUAUGGUCCCAGAGCGGAUCCCGGCAGCCGAAAAACCCCAUUUAUCAGACGAGCCUGAGGCCCGUCAAAGGGAUCCAGGAGUCGGUUGAAGCUACAGCCCGCGCCACAGCUCCUUCCCCUGCCCUGCUCCUGAAAUCUGUGCCCUGCCGGCAGCUCCCGCUGGGCCCCGGGGCCUACGACUGGCACAGGCACAAAGUUGCCGGGCCCUCCGCCACCCUAGGGUGGGACGAGGUGGCUCAAGCGAAGGCCGGAGCUUCUGCAAAAGACCGCAGCUGACCCAGCAUCUGAACAAUCCACACGCCUCGGCCGCAGCACGUGGGAUCUUCCCGGACCAGGGAUCGAACCUGUGUCCUCUGCACUGGCAGAUGGACUGUUAUCCACUGCUCCACCAAGGAAGUCCAGGAAUGCCACUUUAAAGAAAGAACCUGAAGGACCAGCUCUUACCCAAAGUGCUGCUGGAGGGGGGACUUCAGACACCCUCUCUGAAGCCAGCUCACUGCGCAGGCUGGAAGGCGUGCAGGAAGGUGGCACAUUGCCAUGGACCGUUUGGGAGAGGGAACAGCAGGAUCUCCUCCGGGCCCAGUUCUCCAUGAGCUCUGCCAAGGCCGCCCACACCUGCCGACUCUCUGGGGCCCCUCAGCCCUGUCUUGGGCAAUAUGGCACCCCUCUGCCCCAGUGCCCGAAGAUGCAGGCCCCCGCCCUAGGUCUUGCCUGUGCCUUCCUCCCUGAGAGCCCUGAGAGGAAAACGGGGCAGCGGCCAGAGUCAGCAAUAGUGGCAGGUGUUGGAAGCAGAUAAUUCUUUCUCCCCUCUUGU
ensembl:lncRNA